ACUGGCGAGGCCACCCACUGUUCUCCUGAGGUCAUCUUGAGUGACUGAGGUCAUGAACGCUGGAACAAGAUACGGAUGUUAUAGGUUAUAUUGUGUCACCAAUGGUUUGGUAAAUGGACCAACCAGACCCACCUUCAGACACGGAGUGAGAAGGAUGGGGAGGUUUUUGACCAGGUGAGACUGAACAUGGACAAGGCGCAGGAUAAACAGAAGGAGAUCUACCGGAGCAGAAUCAAGAAGGGGACCAAGUGCUAAGACAUCCGGGCGAAUGACUUGGUUUGGAAGAAGGACAAAAGGAAGUCGAGACCUGGGAAACCUCGCUGCUCUUUCACUUCUA